rnacentral:rRNA from 1 species
GUGAGGAAUAUUGGUCAAUGGGCGCAAGCCUGAACCAGCCAUCCCGCGUGCAGGAAGACGGCGCUAUGCGUUGUAAACUGCUUUUCCAGGGAGAGAAACUUGCGCACGUGUUGCGCAAUUGACGGUACCCUGGGAAUAAGCAUCGGCUAACUCCGUGCCAGCAGCCGCGGUAAUACGGAGGAUGCGAGCGUUAUCCGGAUUCAUUGGGUUUAAAGGGUGCGUAGGCGGACUAUUAAGUCAGUGGUGAAAUCAUGCAGCUUAACUGCAGAACUGCCAUUGAUACUGAUAGCCUUGAGUUUGGUUAAGGUAGGCGGAAUGUGUAAUGUAGCGGUGAAAUGCUUAGAUAUUACACAGAACACCAAUUGCGUAGGCAGCUUACUGAGCCGACACUGACGCUGAGGCACGAAAGCGUGGGGAUCGAACAGGAUUAGAUACCCCGGUAGUCC